rnacentral:miRNA from 1 species
AACUCAACAAUAUGUAGGGGCUGCCGAAGGCUGCGCUCUUUUGGAUCAAGAUCAAAAGAGCGCAGCCUUCGGCAGCUCCUACAAUACCC